UACGUAGGAGACGAGCGUUGUCCGGAGUUACUGGGCGUAAAGGGUGCGCAGGCGGCCUGGCGCGUCGCGAGUGAAAUCUCCUGGCUCAACUGGGAGGGUGGUCGCGAGACGGCUGGGCUUGAGGCUCGGUGAGGGGCGUGGAAUUCCUGGUGUAGCGGUGAAAUGCGUAGAGAUCAGGAAGAACACCGGUGGCGAAAGCGUUCUGCUAGACCUGUACUGACACUGAGGGACGAAAGCUAGGGGAGCAAACAGG
rnacentral:rRNA from 1 species